GAUGGUCAUGACCAUACAGGAUAUUUCUGCCAGCUCGUAAUCAAGUGAAUUCAUGGAUUUGAUACGUCAGUUCUGCUAAUGAAGUGAUGUUAUUUUUUAGUGUUACAAGCUUCUAAACAAAUGGGUCCAUGUGGACACAGUGGGAACAUUAGUAUCUUGGGAUGUCUAAAUUAUCAACAGAAGUUAUUAUGAUGAAUGAUGAAGCUUCUGAUGGUAUCAAAAAACUGCAGGAAUAUUUGGAUGAUGAAGUGAUUGAAAAUAAUGUGGACUAAUGGAAGACUCAGAUGCAGUGAGGGAAGAGCCUUGUAAUGGUUUGCCAGUUGAGCCUGUUUCUCAGUCUUUUGACUCUAAUGAUAAUUAAACAGAAAUUACCACUAGGCCUACUCUUUGUAAUGGUGAUAGUGAUGACUUGUUAUCAUUGUGCAAAAAGUAUAGAAACAAAAAAGUUUUGUGUAGAGAAACAUAUAGAAGCAUGUG